rnacentral:rRNA from 1 species
AGUGAACGCUGGCGGUAGGCCUAACACAUGCAAGUCGAACGGCAGCACAGGAGAGCUUGCUCCCUGGGUGGCGAGUGGCGGACGGGUGAGGAAUACAUCGGAAUCUACCUUUUCGUGGGGGAUAACGUAGGGAAACUUACGCUAAUACCGCAUACGACCAACGGGUGAAAGCAGGGGACCUUCGGGCCUUGCGCGAUUGAAUGAGCCGAUGUCGGAGUAGCUAGUUGGCGGGGUAAAGGCCCACCAAGGCGACGAUCCGUAGCUGGUCUGAGAGGAUGAUCAGCCACACUGGAACUGAGACACGGUCCAGACUCCUACGGGAGGCAGCAGUGGGGAAUAUUGGACAAUGGGCGCAAGCCUGAUCCAGCCAUACCGCGUGGGUGAAGAAGGCCUUCGGGUUGUAAAGCCCUUUUGUUGGGAAAGAAAUCCAGCUGGCUAAUACCCGGUUGGGAUGACGGUACCCAAAGAAUAAGCACCGGCUAACUUCGUGCCAGCCGCCGCCGUAA